rnacentral:misc_RNA from 1 species
GAAAUGCGAUAAGUAAUGUGAAUUGCAGAAUUCAGUGAAUCAUCGAAUCUUUGAACGCACCUUGCGCCCUCUGGUAUUCCGGAGGGCAUGCCUGUUUGAGUGUCAUGAACACCUCACCCCCUCGGGUUUUUCCGAUCGGGUGGAUUUGGGUGCUGCCAGUUACAUGGCUCGCCUUAAAAGCAUUAGCGGUUGUUGACGUAAUAAGUUUCGUCUUGUCGACCGCUUCUAAUCUCCUUCGGGAUGUCUUCGGACACUUCAUGAUCUGACCUCAAAUCAGGUAGGGCUACCCGCUGAGUUUAA